rnacentral:rRNA from 8 species
AACCUGCGGAAGGAUCAUUAC